rnacentral:sRNA from 1 species
GGCUGGGGGGCGCGCGGGGGAGGGGGAGGCGAGCGAGGAGGCGCGUUGGGCGGGGCGUGGCUAGGGAGUAGCCCAAGGGCACCGCUCUGUCCUCCUGUUUUUCCCCUUCUACCCUCGCCGGCCGCUGGAGGAAGAGAGAGGCGGAGACGAGAGAGAGACCGACCGCGCGCCACGACGAUGGAUCCGUGAUGAGGCCACCGCGCGUCGCGGCAGCCGUCGGCCCAGCUCGCCUUAGCCAUCGGUGGAGGGAGCGGCGGGAUCUCGAGCUGUGGCCGAAAAUAGCAGCGGAGAGAGAGAGAGAGAGAGAGAGAGAGAGAGCGGCGACGGAUCCGCGGGCGGAGUAGGCGGCUCUCCUCGUCGCCCUCACCGACGAAGCUCCGGCGGCCGCGACGGUCCUCCUCAUCACCCUCCGUUCGCCGCUGGAGAGAGAGAGAGCGCCGGGGUGGAUGGUAAUGAUGGCACGACGGAGGAGGCCGAGGUGGAUGGCGACGGGAGAGAGAGAGGUGUGGCGGUGGACACCGGCGACGGGAGAGGCGGCCCUCCUCGUCAUCCUCGCGACCGCUGGCGACGGGAGAGGCGAGCGGCGGCGACGGUGAGAGAGAGAGGCAAGUGCAGCGGCGAAAAAAGGAGAAUGGGGGGCGGGAGAAAGAGAUUAGGGUAGGGUAGUAAAAAUAAAUAUGGGGCUUUGUAGGCUGGGAUACCCAUUAUGGGUUGGAGUGUCUCUAUUAAGGCCCUGUUUGUUUCAGCUUAAAAUUACUGUAAUCUAGAUUAUAGAACUAGAUUACUAUAAGCUGGAUUAUAAUAAAUCGACAUAGAAUAAGCUGUUAGCUGUUUGUUUCUCUGAAUUAUUAGUUGUUUGUUAGCUGUUAGCCACCCAAUAAUCUAAAAAAACACCUUUAUGCCCUGUUAGUUUCAGCUUAAAAUUAUUGUAAUCUAGAUUAUUGAACCAGAUUACUAUAAGCUGAAUUAUAAUAAGUCGACAUAUAAUAAGCUGUG